AACGAACGCUGGCGGCAUGCCUAACACAUGCAAGUCGAACGAAGGCUUCGGCCUUAGUGGCGCACGGGUGCGUAACGCGUGGGAAUCUGCCCUUUGGUUCGGAAUAACAGCUGGAAACGGCUGCUAAUACCGGAUGAUGACGAAAGUCCAAAGAUUUAUCGCCAGAGGAUGAGCCCGCGUUGGAUUAGGCAGUUGGUGGGGUAAAGGCCUACCAAGCCGACGAUCCAUAGCUGGUCUGAGAGGAUGAUCAGCCACACUGGGACUGAGACACGGCCCAGACUCCUACGGGAAGCAGCAGUGGGGAAUAUUGGACAAUGGGCGCAAGCCUGAUCCAGCAAUGCCGCGUGAGUGAUGAAGGCCCUAGGGUUGUAAAGCUCUUUUACCCGGGAAGAUAAUGACUGUACCGGGAGAAUAAGCCCCGGCUAACUCCGUG
rnacentral:rRNA from 1 species